AUUGAACGCUGGCGGCAGGCUUAACACAUGCAAGUCGAGCGGGGGAAGGUAGCUUGCUACUGGACCUAGCGGCGGACGGGUGAGUAAUGCUUAGGAAUCUGCCUAUUAGUGGGGGACAACAUCUCGAAAGGGAUGCUAAUACCGCAUACGUCCUACGGGAGAAAGCAGGGGAUCUUCGGACCUUGCGCUAAUAGAUGAGCCUAAGUCGGAUUAGCUAGUUGGUGGGGUAAAGGCCUACCAAGGCGACGAUCUGUAGCGGGUCUGAGAGGAUGAGCCGCCACACUGGGACUGAGACACGGCCCAGACUCCUACGGGAGGCAGCAGUGGGGAAUAUUGGACAAUGGGGGGAACCCUGAUCCAGCCAUGCCGCGUGUGUGAAGAAGGCCUUAUGGUUGUAAAGCACUUUAAGCGAGGAGGAGGCUACUUUAGUUAAUACCUAGAGAUAGUGGACGCUACUCGCAGAAUAAGCACCGGCUAACUCUGUGCCAGCAGCCGCGGUAA
rnacentral:rRNA from 1 species